rnacentral:misc_RNA from 1 species
CAAACAUUGAUCAAAUUUAAGUUUGCCAACCAUAUAAAAGCACAAAUGAGUAUCAGAACCAUAUUUCUAACAUUUUGAGAUGCGCAUAUAGCCAACAUUACCAGCAAAGAGAUUGAAUUAACAUAUGAUAAUUCAUUCACUAAUUACAAUAAAUUAUGGCCAUAACUGUUGCUAAUUACAAAAAAUUAAGGCCACCUAAUGGUUUACGAAGAUAGGCAUUGCUAAUUAUGAUGCUGGAUGUGGACUAGUCACUGUCACAAAAAUUCCACAUUCAGAAUCCUGCUUCUGUACAGUUCCCCUUCUCUUAUCUAUUUCUGAGUUAUCUUUUGCUUGGCACCCAACUAUAUACAUAAUGCCUCCCAAAUCCAUCAAAUAAGUUUAUAUGAUCCUCAUAUUUGGGCCUUUGAGAAUAUAGAGGUCAGCUUCAAAGCAACAUCACCAUAAGGUUGCUCCUGCUGUACAUCAAUAAUUCCGUAGCUCUUCAAAACUUUAAACAUGUGUGGUAGGACUUCCAAUCCCAUGGUUCCCAUCAUCAUCCAGUCUUCUUAAACAUAUAUUGCUAGUAUUU